UACGUAGGGGGCAAGCGUUGUCCGGAAUUAUUGGGCGUAAAGAGCGCGUAGGCGGUCCGAUAAGUCGGCUGUGAAAGUCAGGGCUCAACCCUUGAAAGCCGGCCGAUACUGUCGGACUAGAGUCCGGAAGAGGCAAGUGGAAUUCCCGGUGUAGCGGUGAAAUGCGCAGAUAUCAGGAAGAACACCCGUGGCGAAGGCGGCUCUCUGGGACGGUACUGACGCUGAGACGCGAAAGCGUGGGGAGCGAACAGG
rnacentral:rRNA from 1 species